CAUGUACUCCCUCCGUUCGGAAUUAUUUGUCUCGGAUAUGGAUGUAUCUAGAACUAAAAUACAUCUAGAUACAUCCAUUUCUAUGAUAAGUAAUUUCGAACGGAGGGAAUAUGUA
rnacentral:pre_miRNA from 1 species